AGGUAACAGCCAAAACAAAUACAUACCAAUCUGUCAAUUGCAUUUUUGAUAGCGUGGAACCAAUCCAAUAUGAGAAAGUCGAUAUCCGACUGGAGGAGGAACUCAUUUCCUGACACUGUCGUGAUCUGGGGAAGGCAUAAACACACACAGGCGUGUAUCAUGCACUGCUGAAAUAAACAGAGGGACUGGAGGAACAAUUGGAAGACAAAUCUGGGGAAAAAAAAAAGAAGACAUGACAAUGAAGUGCUCGAGAUAGAGCUGCCAGUCUCCAUUGGGCCAGAUAAUCCAGUCUCUUGGCCACAUUCAUGCUGAAUGCAUCAGCAGCAGAAAGGGCACUGGACAUCUGACAAUACACAGGCUAUCAGAAGACACCUGCUUUCUUUGAGAUACACAUGUAUACCUGGAUCAUGCAAAGAAUUUAGACCUCUUGUACUCGGUGAUGUAUAUUACAUAGAAUCACAGAACCUCAAGGGUUGGAAGGGACCUCCAAAGAUAUCCAGUCCAACCCUCCUGCCAGAGCAGGACCACUUAGAGUAGGUCACACAGGAACUCAUCCAGGUGGGUUUUGCCCCAUCUGCAUAUUACAUUCAGUUAAAAGAUACUUUGAUUUGACCCACCAGCCUUUUCUGGAGCAAAGACAAUAACCACUCCCACCAUCAGUGUCUUUUGUUACUUUUCUUAA